rnacentral:rRNA from 1 species
GAUGAACGCUGGCGGCGUGCCUAAUACAUGCAAGUCGAGCGAAUGGAUUAAGAGCUUGCUCUUAUGAAGUUAGCGGCGGACGGGUGAGUAACACGUGGGUAACCUGCCCAUAAGACUGGGAUAACUCCGGGAAACCGGGGCUAAUACCGGAUAACAUUUUGAACCGCAUGGUUCGAAAUUGAAAGGCGGCUUCGGCUGUCACUUAUGGAUGGACCCGCGUCGCAUUAGCUAGUUGGUGAGGUAACGGCUCACCAAGGCAACGAUGCGUAGCCGACCUGAGAGGGGCAUCGUCCACCCUGGGAAUGAGACACGGCCCAGAAUCCCACGGGAGGCAGCAGUAGGGAAUCUUCCGCAAUGGACGAAAGUCUGACGGAGCAACGCCGCGUGAGUGAUGAAGGCUUUCGGGUCGUAAAACUCUGUUGUUAGGGAAGAACAAGUGCUAGUUGAAUAAGCUGGCACCUUGACGGUACCUAACCAGAAAGCCACGGCUAACUACGUGCCAGCAGCCGCCGUAA